rnacentral:misc_RNA from 1 species
GGGUUGGAAUAUAUAUAUACCUCUCUGUAACAUAGUUUUCUAUCCCCCCCCAUUUGGUCUGAUCGGUCCGACGUUGUUCCCCGGCCACCGGCAAAGGCGGGGAGGAUGAGGAAAAUGAAGAGAAGGGUUAGUUGUAUGUGGAAGUAAGGUCAUGAUGGUUUUAAAACCAUUAGGGCAACUAUGAUCCUUUGGCAGUGUAUCAGUAUGAAUUAUAUUGCUUUACACAGUUCAUGUUACCAUGAUAAUGGGGAAUAUAUGUUUUAUAUGUGAUCUUUAAAUUUGACUUUGUUAUGCUACUGGUAUUAGCUCUUUUCUUGUUUGUUUGUUGAUGAAGAACACGACAGAUGAUUUUCUUGGCUUCAUUAUCAUGGAUCUUGAUUUUUUUUUUUUUUUGAAUAAGAAACAAA